UUGCCCGUCACUGAAAUUGCUGCCCCGUACGAAGAACCCGAGGGUUUCACCCGCCGUCGCGCCCCCGUCCCUCCGCCGCCGCGCCACCGUCUCUCCGCCGCCGCGCACCCGUCCCUCCGUCGCCGCCGUCCUUCUACUCUGCGGUGCCCGUCCUCCAUCCGCGGUCGCCGAAUCGGAACGAGAUCCGCAACAUCCGCCGCAUCUCGCGUGACACCCAGCCGCAGCUGCUCGUCGACCAUGCGGGGAGCACGGACAAGCUGCCCGUCGACGUCCAUCCCGCAGCCCCGUUGACGACGGUGCCCAGCCUCCUACACAGCGGGCGCCUCCUACUUGCCACAAGGGUGCGAACGGGAACAGCGAGUAUGCUACGCCGAGAAGCGAUACAGGGGCAUGAAGCAAGUGAGCAGGUGUGCGCAGCGACCUCCUACUGCACUAAUAGCCUUGACGGAGCACCGGGGGGCUCGACAGUGCAUGCCGCCCGCCGGUGGACGCCUGGAUGUGCGCGAUGGAGAUGAACCCCACGUCAUCGCCUCUGUAGCCUGGACAGAGCUCCGGCAGUGCCGGUGAUGAACCCCACAUCUGUGCUGAGAUGUGCUUCGGUCGUUGUUAGCUGUCGAAUUUGUGAUGCAAUCCAUCCCUAUGUCGAUGCCCAAUCAGCAGAACAGAGCAGCUGCCGCAAUUUAUCGAUUGGUUUCUUGGAGUGAUUCAAACAUAGGAAAGCCUGCUACUCUUGCAAGAAACGGGUUAAGAAAUUUCAGUUUUCUUGUAUUUCUCCGUACUGCGGACUUCACCGGAAUUAUGUCGGCCCGUGUAGCCAAGGUACGUGGUUCAAACUGCUCGAGUAAUAUUGAUUUGGAGUUGUUUUGGCCAAGCAUCUGACUGAACCAUGCUACUGCACAGUAGCCAAAAUUUAGUGUAAACUGAACCAUGCUACUGUGUAGUAGCCAAAAUUCAGUCAGUUUGUUUUCCUGUGACCUGAAGUGGCUAAACUGAACCAUGAUACUACACAAUAGCCCAAAGUUUGACUGAUAGAUAUGAGUAUCAUCAUAUAACUUUUGUUUAUAUUUCUAGAAUAUGUAAUACCAGCAAUGUUGUUUUCAGUUUGAUAGGUGUGGCUGAUAACUUCCAGUACCAUUUACUAUAACGCAGUAUUGUGUGUUUUUUAAAGUUUUUAAUAGUCUUUGCUAAAGCCGAGCUUGCUUCUUAUAUACUUGUCUGUGAAUAGUUCAUACAUCACCAGAACCAAAAUUCAGCAGAGUAAAUGAGACAUAGUAAAGCUAAUAGCGUGUGCAUUUGAUUUCCUACAUCCAGAAAAGGGAAAUAUCCUUAGAGAAUUGCAGUUGAGAUGGCGCUAAAUAGCUUUCGUUGUAGUUGUAAAAGUAUGCUGUAAAAUGCUAUUUUGUAUCUUACUUUGACUGAAUAUACUUGCACAAUAUGUACUAAGUAGCUGUUUCUAUUCAACUAUGAUGAUGUUGCACUAACAUGUUAAAAUAAGUAACUGAUACUGCCAAGAUCCGAGGUCAAUUAUUUGUACUCAUGUAAAUGGUAAUCUCUGGUGAACAAGAACAGAAUUUGAUUCACCAAGUUUCAUACAUGUUUUGGCUUCACAACACAUGGUGGAAGAAGGGGUUUUCCCAUUGUGCACCAGUAACCUACAGUAGGUUAUCUGACAUUGACCUUUUUUCUGUUUAGUUCUCAGUUAUUGUGAAAGCUACGUUGUGAUGUUGUGCUCAGUGCAUGCCAUGGUUCAAUCAGGUCCAAUCUAGCUCAUUGGAUCUUGAUUCAUUAGUUUAUUUACUUGAAUUUAAUCUAUGAACAGAAUUUCAUAAUGUCAAGGGAAAGGAAUAAUUUGGCUCUGGGAGGCAAUCUCAUACAUGGCUUAGUGCACACAUUUUUCCUGUUCUUUGAGUUCUUUCAGUAAAGCAAUCACAAGAUACACUCCUAAUUCUUUCCAGUUUUAUUUUGUCUUACUGAAAUUCUGAUUAGCCGAGAAGAGAACAAGUAGUACGUCUCUUCCUAGACAACCUGAAUCUGAAUGACUACAACUGCUGUGUACCAAUCUGACUAUGCAAGUGCAAGUGCAACUACAUUGGUUGGAUGCAAGGAAGGCAGAAUCAUCCGUGUGAAGCCAAUAUGACAAGGCUCAGUCUGCACAAGAUGCAUAUGGAAAUGCAAAUAUUUCCUCAUGCUCAGUGUAGAGUAUGCAAACUUCACACUGGAAAUAAAAGACUGACAUGAGUUUCCUUGCUGGAAAGCGGAAAGAUUGACGCGCACAGUCCCAACACUGGAACCCGAAGGAAUUGACCUGCUAUAGGAAAUAGACCGACAUGGGGAGGACUGGAAGGGCGCGGAGGGGCACCGACGGUAGAGAGGGCGGAGCAGCAGCUCGAAGUGGGAUGCAUGCGUGUGUACAGAGGUGUUGCUUGCAUUUUCUGAACUUUUGGUGAUUUUUGUCAGGGACAAUCACUUGAGUGAUUGCAGUAAACGUACAGAUUAUAGAAAUCCAUUUCUUCUUCAAUAUCUCCUUGAAGUUCUGUACUAAACACUAAGGUCUACAGGGCUGCACUUGGUCAUUCAACACUGAAGGUCAAUGUUGCACUAAGGCUGGUUGGGUUCUGAACAUGCAAUAAAAUGAAGAAAAGUUAGCAAGGAUUACAGAUCUUGCUUCAAGAAAAAUGUUGACUAAUUGUUUUGACGCAUCAUUAGCUUUGACAGGAAAGAGAAUCUGUAGGAAUUGCAGGAUUUCUUCAAUUACAUCAUUAGCAGAUGGCAAAGCCUUGAGGCUACCACUAGGAAUGAAGAAAAAAUGUGAAGAUGACUGGUUAAGGAAAUAGCAAGACUUGCAUAUUGGCAUGAAUUUAAAUUUCUGGUUUCGGUCUUUUAGUUGAUACCGGACUUAGGUGUGAGAAAUUGACUCAGAAUAAUGACGCGAAGUCGAAGAAAUCAUCAUAGUGAGGACGAGCUUGAGGUUGCAGUGGCGGAACCAAAAG